GUGUCAGCCGCCGCGGUAAUACCAGCUCUCCGAGUGGUGGGGACGUUUAUUGGGCCUAAAGCAUCCGUAGCCAGCUGAGCAAGUCCCCAGUUAAAUCCAGCGAUUUAAUCGUUGGACUGCUGGGGAUACUGUCCGGCUAGGGGGUGGGAGAGGCCGACGGUAUUCCCGGGGUAGGGGUGAAAUCCUAUAAUCCCGGGAGGACCACCAGUGGCGAAGGCUGUUGGCUAAAACAUGCCCGACGGUGAGGGAUGAAAGCUGGGGGAGCGAACCGGAUUAGAUACCCGGGUAGUCCCAGCUGUAAACGAUGCAGGCUAGGUGUUAGGGCGGCCACGUGCCGCUCUAGUGCCGCAGGGAAGCUGUUAAGCCUGCCGCCUGGGGAGUACGGCCGCAAGGCUGAAACUUAAAGGAAUUGACGGGG
rnacentral:rRNA from 1 species